GUGGGGAAUAUUGGACAAUGGGGGGAACCCUGAUCCAGCCAUGCCGCGUGUGUGAAGAAGGCCUUUUGGUUGUAAAGCACUUUAAGCGAGGAGGAGGCUACCGAGAUUAAUACUCUUGGAUAGUGGACGUUACUCGCAGAAUAAGCACCGGCUAACUCUGUGCCAGCAGCCGCGGUAAUUCAGAGGGUGCAAGCGUUAAUCGGAUUUACUGGGCGUAAAGCGCGCGUAGGUGGCCAAUUAAGUCAAAUGUGAAAUCCCCGAGCUUAACUUGGGAAUUGCAUUCGAUACUGGUUGGCUAGAGUAUGGGAGAGGAUGGUAGAAUUCCAGGUGUAGCGGUGAAAUGCGUAGAGAUCUGGAGGAAUACCGAUGGCGAAGGCAGCCAUCUGGCCUAAUACUGACACUGAGGUGCGAAAGCAUGGGGAGCAAACAGGAUUAGAAACCCUGGUAGUCC
rnacentral:rRNA from 1 species